UGGGCUAGACAACGGCGGACCGUCCGAGAAAUCGGGCUUUCCCUUCGGGGACUGCCGGUUC
rnacentral:rRNA from 1 species